rnacentral:lncRNA from 1 species
UGUCUGCGAACGCCUGGUGGAAGGGGUGGGACCACAGCAGAGAGGACUGCACGUCUCAGCUCAAAGAGACCACGUGGACAAAGAUCCAGAGGGCAAAGUUUGAAGAAAAGGGUAGCAUGUGUGCACGUGGACUGGCUUUCACCUUCUGUGGUCCGAUUCUGAGAAUGUAGGGAAAAGAAAUUCCUCCUCCCAGAAGAAGCCCAUCGGCCCCCUUUUGUGUCCCCCGCCUGGAUCCGUGUAGACAACAGAUUUGAGAGUCAACUGGAUGGAGAUAAUCAUGGCACUUGCCUCCUCAGAUUGUGUGAGGAUUGGAUGAGAAAAUGCACUUGAGUCUCCUGCCACAGGGCCUGGCAUUUAGCAAGCAUUCCAAAAGGCUGGGUCAGACAAGAUAUUCUCAAGAAGAAAAAAGAAGACCGGAAAAGGCCUUAUCUUUGUCGACUUUUCUAUCACACGGGAUAACCUCCUGUCAAUUAACAUCCACCAAGCACACUCUUGGAAGCCCCUCUUAGCAGCUCCACUUGUCAACGAGCUGGCUGCACGGAGUAAAAGUUAUUCACAGAAGACCAGUUUUCAGAUCUGACAUAAAUCUCCUUUUCCUUCCUCA